GACGAACGCUGGCGGCGUGCUUAACACAUGCAAGUCGAACGGUGAAGCGCCUUCCUUUUUGGUGGGUGUGGAUGAGUGGCGAACGGGUGAGUAACACGUGAGUAACCUGCCCCCUUCUUCUGGAUAACCGCAUGAAAGUGUGGCUAAUACGGGAUAUUCUGGGUCUGUCGCAUGAUGGGUCUGGGAAAGAUAUUGUUUCGGUGGGGGAUGGGCUCGCGGCCUAUCAGCUUGUUGGUGGGGUGAUGGCCUACCAAGGCGGUGACGGGUAGCCGGCCUGGGAGGGUGGACGGUCACACUGGGACUGAGACACGGCCCAGACUCCGACGGGAGGCAGCAGGGAGGAUUAUUGCACAAUGGGCGCAAGGCUGAUGCAGCGACGCCGCGUGAGGGAUGGAGGCCUGCGGGUUGUGAACCUCUUUCGCCAGUGAAGCAGGCCUGCCUCGUUUGUGGGUGGGUUGACGGUAGCUGGAUAAGAAGCGCCGGCUAACUACGUG
rnacentral:rRNA from 1 species